rnacentral:rRNA from 1 species
CGUACACGGUGGAUGCCUGGGCAGUCAGAGGCGAUGAAGGACGUACUAACUUGCGAUAAGCGCAGAUAAGGCAGUAAGAGCCGUUUGAGUCUGCGAUUUCCGAAUGGGGAAACCCAACUGCAUAAGCAGUUACUGUUAACUGAAUACAUAGGUUAACAGAGCAAACCGGGGGAACUGAAACAUCUAAGUACCCCGAGGAGAAGAAAUCAACCGAGAUUCCGGUAGUAGCGGCGAGCGAACCUGGAUUAGCCCUUAAGCACUCGGUGAAGUAGGUGAACAAGCUGGAAAGCUUGGCGAUACAGGGUGAUAGCCCCGUAACCGACGCUUCAUCGAGCGUGAAAUCGAGUAGGGCGGGACACGUGAUAUCCUGUCUGAAUAUGGGGGGACCAUCCUCCAAGGCUAAAUACUCCUGACUGACCGAUAGUGAACCAGUACCGUGAGGGAAAGGCGAAAAGAACCCCUGUGAGGGGAGUGAAAUAGAACCUGAAACCGUGUACGUACAAGCAGUAGGAGCACCUUCGUGGUGUGACUGCGUACCUUUUGUAUAAUGGGUCAGCGACUUAUAUUCAGUGGCAAGGUUAACCGUAUAGGGGAGCCGUAGCGAAAGCGAGUCUUAACUGGGCGCUCAGUCUCUGGAUAUAGACCCGAAACCGGGUGAUCUAGCCAUGGGCAGGUUGAAGGUUGAGUAACAUCAACUGGAGGACCGAACCGACUAAUGUUGAAAAAUUAGCGGAUGACUUGUGGCUAGGGGUGAAAGGCCAAUCAAACUCGGAGAUAGCUGGUUCUCCCCGAAAGCUAUUUAGGUAGCGCCUCGGACGAAUACUACUGGGGGUAGAGCACUGUUAAGGCUAGGGGGUCAUCCCGACUUACCAACCCUUUGCAAACUCCGAAUACCAGUAAGUACUAUCCGGGAGACACACGGCGGGUGCUAACGUCCGUCGUGGAGAGGGAAACAACCCAGACCGCCAGCUAAGGUCCCAAAGUAUUGCUAAGUGGGAAACGAUGUGGGAAGGCUCAGACAGCUAGGAUGUUGGCUUAGAAGCAGCCAUCAUUUAAAGAAAGCGUAAUAGCUCACUAGUCGAGUCGGCCUGCGCGGAAGAUGUAACGGGGCUAAGCAAUACACCGAAGCUGCGGCAAUGUCUUUUAGA